rnacentral:rRNA from 1 species
UGAGGAAGUUUAGACAAUGGGCGAAAGCCUGAUCUAUUGAUGCCGUGUGGGAGAAAGUUAAAAUUUACUGCGAAAUGCUGUCAAUCCCCUAAGGAGGCAGAGAAAAAUGACAUUGCCUCCGAAAAGUCCUGGCUAAUCUCGUGCCAGCAGCCGCGGUAAGACGGGGAGGGCAAGCGUUAUUCAUAAUAAUUGGGCGUAAAGGGCUGGUAGGCUGCUUUGGAAAAGCUACCAAGUAAAUCACGCACAGCCGUGCGGCUCUGCUGGCUUAGUUCCAAGCUCGAGUCCGGGGGAGGGGUUCGGAAUUCACGGUGUAGGGGUAAAAUCCAUUGACAUCGUUGGGGACCACCAUUUGGCGAAAGCAGUUCCCCAUUCCGGUACUGACGCUGAGAGGCUAAAGCGUGGGAAUCGAACGGGAUUAGAUACCCACGUAGUCCCUGAGCGGGCUGGCAAGGCGCAU